GCCAGGGGGAGCGGGCUCUGGCCCUCGCCCGCAUGCGCCAGGCCGGGGCCUUCCUAAGCACCUGCGAGAGCGUCCUGCUGCUGCUGCUGCGCGACGCCGCCCACCCCAAAUUCCGACAGAUCCUGCCACUGAUCAAGGAGCCCCCGCCGGACACAGGGCUGAUUCUGGGGGGGCCCCUGGGUGUGCUGGGGGGGCUCUGAGACCCCUCAAAUCCCCCAGAAUCAACCCAAAAAUCCUCCUCAGCCUGGUGGGGGUCUGAGGUCCCCAAGUCCCCCUGAAAAUUCCCUCCAAAUUAACCCCAAAAUCUCCUGAAAAUCCCCCAAAAUUGUGCCUGGUCUGGGGAGUCUCAGAGCCCCCAAAUCCCCCCAAUAUGGGGGGUCUAUAAACGCUGCCCCCCUUCCCCGA